rnacentral:lncRNA from 1 species
AUAUUUGAGGGUGGGGAUGUUUUUAUCAAAUCAAUACACGACAUUUUUUGCUCCAUGAAGGCAGAGAUUUUUGUCUGUUUUGUUUACUGACGUAUCUUUAAAUCCCAGAACAGUAGCAGGCACAUGGUAUAUGCUCAACAAAGAUCUGUUGGCUGAAGGGAAGGAUCAGUUGUUUGAACAGUGAUUUUAAACCUAAAAUGUGCAUUGCUUUUCCCAAGCAACCAUCAUUGAGCUGGAAAUUGGAGGCUUCUGGUUCAAUACUUUAAAGCAGUUGAGCCUUUACUCCUUGUCCAUAAAAAGAAACUUGAGGCUACAUAGGCAGAUCCUAUUUUGACUCUUUGACCCUGCUUAUGUAAAAUAUUCUUUUUUUAAAGUUUUUUAUUAUACUUUAAGCUUUAGGGUUCAUGUGCACAACGUGCAGGUUAGUUACAUAUGUAUACAUGUGCCAUGUUGGUGUGCUGCACCCAUUAACUCAUCAUUUAACCUUAGGUAUAUCUCCUAAUGCUAUCCUUCCCCCAUCCCCCCACCCCACAACAGGCCCUGGUUUGUGAUGUUCCCCUUCCUGUGUCCAUGUGUUCUCAUUGUCCAAUUCCCACCUAUGACUGAGAACAUGUGGUGUUUGGUUUUUUGUCCUUGCGACAGUUUGCUGAGAAUGAUGGCUUCCAGCUUCAUCCAUGUCCCUACAAAGGACAUGAACUCAUCAUUUUUUGUGGCUGCAUAGUAUUCCAUGGUGUAUAUGUGCCACAUUUUCUUAAUCCAGUCUAUCAUUGAUGGACAUUUGGGUUGGUUCCAAGUCUUUGUUAUUGUGAAUAGUGCCUCAAUAAACAUACAUGUGCAUGUGUCUUUAUAGCAGCAUGUUUUAUAAUCCUUUGGGUAUAUACCCAGUAAUGGGAUGGCUGGGUCAAAUGGUAUUUCUAGUUCUAGAUCCCUGAGGUAUCGCCACACUGACUUCCACAAGGGUUGAACUAGUUUACAGUCCCACCAACAGUGUAAAAGUGUUCCUAUUUCUCCACAUCCUCUCCAGCACCUGUUGUUUCCUGACUUUUUAAUGAUCACCGUUCUAACUGGUGUGAGAUGGUAUCUCAUUGUGGUUUUGAUUUACAUUUCUCUGAUGGCCAGUGAUGAUGAGCAUUUUUUCAUGUGCCUUUGGCUGCAUAAAUGUCUUCUUUUGAGAAGUGUCUGUUCAUAUCCUUUGCCCACUUUUUGAUGAGGUUGUUAGAUUUUUUCUUGUAAAUUUAUUUGAGUUCAUUGUAGAUUCUGGAUAUUAGCCCUUUGUCAGAUGAGUAGACUGAAAAAAUUUGCUCCCAUUCUGUAGGUUGCCUGUUCACUCUGAUGAUUUUUUCUUUUGCUGUGCAGAAGCUCUUUAGUUUAAUUAGAUCCCAUUUGUCAAUUUUGGCUUUUGUUGCCAUUGCUUUUGGUGUUUUAGACAUGAAGUCCUUGCCCAUGCCUAUGUCCUGAAUGUUAUUGCCUAGGUUUUCUUCUAGGGUAUUUAUGGUUUUAGGUCUAACACUUAAGUAUUAAAAUAUUCUUUUGAGAGCAGCAGGUUCCUUCGGUUGCUCAAACAUCAGGUCAAUGUUUGAUAAAUUCUCCCUAUGAAGAAUCAAGUGCUAACACAAGGAAGGCUUCUUUUCUUUCUGGUUGUAAACUUUUUAGGAAUUGGUAUUUGCAGCUGCUUAGGUAUCUUGGAGCCCCAUGGUGACAUUUCAUUAUGAGGUUAUAGCAAUCAGGUCCAUAAAAAUAUUGACUAAAACUCAGAGAUGCCAGAAUGUUUACUUCUUUCACUGAUGCUCUUUCUACACAUCAUUUGAAUGGCUUGGCUAGACUGAAAUUCCUGCUGAAGCCUGUAGACUUUAGGUCUCUAGCUGGGUACUUAGUGAGUAAAGAAUGCACCCUCUCACCCUCAGAAGGUAUACCCAAGGCCUGGAUCUUAAUGCUGUUAAAAUAUCAUGUGACCCCAUGUCCUUUCUUUUUCCAGUCUGUUUUCAAUGGCUGCACUAUGCGGGUGUUUGAUUUUGGAGAUGUAAACACAGAUCAUGGAUAUAAUGAUUUUUUUUCCAUCCUCAGCUGCUCUUAUAUCUGUGGUUGACAAUCACAUGCAGGGUAUGGGUCGUGCCAGUGCUUUGGAAAUCUCAGUAGAAAGGUGAGGUGUCGGAUCAAUGCCUUAUCUUCUCUAGCUAUGACAGUUUUAGAUGGACUCUUUUUCCAAAAUAAGACUGCUUUGUCUGCAUUAAAAAUAUGAUGUUAUAGAGACAGCUUCUUGCCUUAAACCUCAUGAAGCAACUUCUGCAAGCUUCAAAUUUUUCUUUUGCAGCUUCCUCACCUCUCUCAGCCUUCAUAGAAUUGAAAAAAGUUAGGAUCUUGCUCUCGAUUAGGCUUUGGCUUAAUGGAAUGUGGUAACUUAUUUGAUCUUCUGUCAAGACCAAUCUUUGGUGCUCUUCUCAUCUCACCUUAAGUGUUCUCGUGGGUUGACCUCAACUGAUCCCACAGCUUCCAUUUCUAAUGCAUUAAGCACGAAAAGUUCUCAUUCUCCAGCCUCUCCCUCUCUCCUGGUCUCUAAACCCAACAUUUUCAACCCUCACUGUAACUCCAAAUGCAGUGUGCACAAAAUAAGACUGCUACACCAACAAAUCAAAAUGUGUGUACUCCCAGUUAUUUAUCUGUUCCUAUUUUGGUUAAAGACAUCCUUCAUCAU